CCUACGGGCGGCUGCAGUGGGGAAUAUUGGACAAUGGGGGCAACCCUGAUCCAGCCAUGCCGCGUGUGUGAAGAAGGCCUUCGGGUUGUAAAGCACUUUCAGUGAGGAAGAAGGCCUGCGGGUUAAUAGCCGGCAGGAAGGACAUCACUCACAGAAGAAGCACCGGCUAACUCCGUGCCAGCAGCCGCGGUAAUACGGAGGGUGCGAGCGUUAAUCGGAAUUACUGGGCGUAAAGCGCGCGUAGGUGGCUUGAUAAGCCGGUUGUGAAAGCCCCGGGCUCAACCUGGGAACGGCAUCCGGAACUGUCAGGCUAGAGUGCAGGAGAGGAAGGUAGAAUUCCCGGUGUAGCGGUGAAAUGCGUAGAGAUCGGGAGGAAUACCAGUGGCGAAGGCGGCCUUCUGGACUGACACUGACACUGAGGUGCGAAAGCGUGGGUAGCAAACAGGAUUAGAUACCCAUGUAGUC
rnacentral:rRNA from 1 species